ensembl:lncRNA
GUAGCAGAUAGGCUGCCCCUCUGCUCACUUUUCUGUUUCACAGACACAAGGCCUUUUUGUCCCAAGAAAGCCUCCUGGCUUAGCUGUGUGACUAAAUGCUAUUUGCCCUCUUCAGUGGACCUCUAUUCUCAAGAUUCCCUUGUUUUCUCACCAUCCCAUUUGAGAUGCUUGAUAGUAACUGUUACAGGUCUUCUUUACCACCGAGGAAAGACGGAAUCCUACUAGAGGCCAGAAAAAGUGUUCCAGAGAUGGAUGGAAGGCCCUCACUUCUGCCUGCUCUCUUCAGACGCCUGAAGACCUGGAGCCACCACAGCACGAGUGUCAAACACUGACAGAAGCACAUGGGUAGAGGAAAGACCUCUGCGACUGGCUGAUUGACCCCUGCUGAAAGCCGAGGACCUUGUUCACAGACGGGAACAGUUCUCUUCAUGAAUGAAGGUCAGAGACAAGUGGGUGCUGCCAUGGUGGACAACACAGUGUCAUCUAGAAUGGCUGAACCCCAACCCCCAGCACAUCAGCACCACAGAUGCCUUUGCCAUCUCUUAGAUGCCCUGAUGAAGCCAACAACUGUGAGUACUAUUCAUUGCUCAGGAUAUCAGGAGGAAAGAGAUUCAGUGACAUGGGACAGUAACAAAACAGAUAAAGUGGCUCAGGAAAUGGCUAUGCAGGAGCCUAUCCUGGUUACAGACCUGCAAGAGACAGCCACUGAGAACUAGGAUCGGACUAAGGGAUGGCCUCACUUAGAAAAGCCCCAAAUUGCUUAAAAGAUAAAGGACAAUGACACACUUGAGGGGAAGCUAUACUCCCCAGAGAACAAAGAAAAGACUCACUUUGCCAAAUAAAAAAAUAGACUCAUUUAAGAGAUAAAAAAUUUGUCC